AUUCAAAUAGCUUAUAAAGAGUAUAAUAUUGAAAAUAUUAAGGAGAUUUUUAAUCUUUGAAUA
rnacentral:tRNA from 1 species